AUACGCUUAUGUGAUUGGCCAAGCAGUGAUUUAAAUAAUAUAGUUUCUGUGCGAUUAUUUCGGGAGCCUGGGUGGCAGGGAAAUGAACAAGCGCCCUCCUACAACAAUUAUGAUUACUUCCAGUUGUACCUAUCAUCUUGCAAAUGUCAAAACUGUUUUUUUUUUACGGCUGAAAAAAAUGGACACAGGUUGCUUUCAUAACUCCGCUACUGUGAGUACUACUGUAAUUAAUACUUACAUGCAAGCACCUCUGCUGUUUACCUGGAGUCUUUCUCAGUGAACCUUGUCCUUUCCCUCGAGACAUCACUGUCUGUGCCUCACUAGCUGUCUUCAAACUACUGCUGUACCCCACCCCCCAAAGAAAUCAUGGCCCCCUGGCUAUCAUCCCUGUUCUGUAGUUCAUAUCUUUAUUACAGAGGACAGUGAGCUCUCUAGAUGUAAUUUCUACCCUGUGACCUUUUCCCAAGUCUACAAAGCGCUGAGUUGUCAGGAUAAAACCAUUCUCCCUGUAGGACAUCCUCCUCACUGUGCCCCAACCAAAUGCAUGGUCAGCGUCCUCCCAAACUCUCCUAGCUCUGCCAGUCUGGCCAUGCUCUGUCCUCAUCUCUACCCUUACAUAUGGUGUCCUCUACCUCAAAUGCCUCCCCUCAAAAAUGCUCCUUCCUGUAUGUGCCGCUUGCUAACCCGUCCUUCGCUGAGCUCCAAGGUUCCUGUGUCCUUUCCUCAGGCUGGGUACUGGCUUCUCUCACAGUCACCUCCCACCGUGCUGUUCUGUGGAAUCCCUUCCCUCUUCCCUAGAGUUAAGGAGCAUCAUGAGGAGACUCUUGUACCUCAGAUGCAGAGCUCUCCUCACACGCCUUUCUCUCUCUCUCCCCAACUUCCUUCUGAGGAUUUCUUCCCUGCAGCAUUUGGGAAAAGUCAAUGGGAAUGCUCUCAUCUCAAAGGACUACAUAGGACUGCACUGUAGAAAGAUUUUAAAAAGUGCAGCGACCUCCCCUUCGCAUCUUUAUUUCUCAGGGAGUAAGAAACCAGCUGACAAGACAAAACAACACAAAAAUCCCUGUGGGUGGCAUGGAGGCAGAGCCACUGAGUCAAGUUCCUCUGUCAUCAGCAGCUUCGCUCCUCUCCCAGGUCCUGGAGGGAAGCAGCCGUGGGCCAAGCAGUCUAACAGCACGUGUGUACCUGUCUCCGCAACCAGAUUUAUCCAGUAGGCUUCCUGGAUAAGCAUUUAGGUUUGUUGGUGGAUGCUGGGCGAGUCUAGACAGCAGAUUGGAUACUGCUGCUUCUGAGCUGGAGGGCAGACCCAGACUGGAAGCUCCCAGGCACAAGCCAGGGUCAAUGCAGUGAACUGCUCUCCCCUCAAACCUGUGCUGUGCAUGACCCCAUUUCACCCCGUGCCAGUGGGUGAGGACACUGCUGCUACUCUGUGGAUGAUUAUUAACCUUCCCAGGAUCUCAAGUCACAUUCUACUUUAACCCAGCCUCAAGCUCCCCUUGUGCUGCAGGUCAGAUGGUAAGGAGGCCUCUGUGCUUGUAUGCAUGCCACAGAAAUGCACAUGUGUCUUAGGAUCCAGCAUAUAGUUAGCUGGGACAAAAUGGCUCUGCUUUGGACAUGAGUACAUUCCAGUUUCUUUAAUAUGAGUUUUGAUUUCUUUCUUCUUCUCUCCCCCACCCCCCAGACAGGGUUUCUUUGUAUUAGCUUUGGAGCCUGUCCUGCUGUCCUGGAACUCGCUCUUGUAGACCAGGCUGGCCUUGAACUCACAGAGACGUGUCUGCCUCUACCUUCCGAGUGCUGGGAUUAAAGGCAUGCGCCACUGCCACCCGGUUUGGGAAUCAGGAUUUCAACAUAAGAACCGGGGAGGAGACAGACACACAGAGCAAAGCAGAGCUGGACUUUCAAGUAGAUUUGAAGAAUCUAACCAGCACAAACGGCUAUCAGACCCAGCAUGCAUCUACUGUUAGUGAAGUGGACUUGCUCAGUGUCCCCGGAGGGCUCCCCAGAAGCCUGUUGUUGAACUGAAGACUGCUGGGAAAGGGCUCUAUGGUCCUGCCCCAUUGUCAGGUUGGUGUUGCUGCUGAGGGGCCCAUCGCCUCUCCCUUGGAGACGCUGGGUUUCAAUAUGCUUUUUAUUCUCUUGGCCUCCUGAGCAAAUGGCUGUCACUGUUUCCAUUGUGUGCUCUUCCCUUUGGAAUGGGGCCAAUGAGACCAAUGUUUGGCAAUUUGGGUUCCUGCUUGGAGUGAUUUUCUGCCUUUUCUCCCACAGAGACUCUCCCACACUCAGUCACCUAAAAGCAGUGCCAAACAGAUUUCAUUUGAAAUGUUGAUUUUUAACCCUUGUUAGUUCAUCUGGAUAG